UACAGAGGCCCCAAGCGUUACUGAGAAUCACUGGGUUUAAAGGGUGCGUAGGUGGUCCGUUAAGUUCGUUGUGAAAGCCCUGGGCUCAACCCAGGAACUGCUUCGAAUACUGGCGGACUUGAGGCUAGUAGAGGUCACUGGAACUGACGGUGGAGCGGUGAAAUGCGUAGAUAUCGUCAGGAACGCCAAUGGUGAAGACAGGUGACUGGGCUAGAUCUGACACUGAGGCGCGACGAGCGUGGGGGAGCAAACAGG
rnacentral:rRNA from 1 species